AAACUUACCUGGCAGGGAAGAUACCAUGGUCAUGGUGGUAGUUUUCCCUGAGUGAGGUUUAUCCUUUGCACUCUGGAUGUGCUGACCCCUGCAAUUUCUCCAAAUGUGAGAAACUCAGCUGCAUAAUUUGUGGCAGUGGAAGACUGUGUACAUGCUCUCCCC